rnacentral:misc_RNA from 1 species
GCACAGAGUAAGUAAUAUCAGGCCUGGUGAUGUUCACAUAUAAAAGUCUCCCAAUAAGUCUUCAAAACUUAUCAGGAUCUGCCAAUAACUCUCCAUCAUCUGGUGCUAAGUGAAGAUCCUUAUGAAGAGGCAUAGACACUGCUUUAGCUGCUGUCAUGCCAGUGUCCUUCAAAACAUCUAAGAUAAAUUUCCUUCGGCUGAUAAGGGUACCAGUUUCUGAUUGA